rnacentral:rRNA from 1 species
CCUACGGGGGGCAGCAGUGAGGAAUAUUGGUCAAUGGACGAGAGUCUGAACCAGCCAAGUAGCGUGAAGGAUGACUGCCCUAUGGGUUGUAAACUUCUUUUAUAUGGGAAUAAAAUGUUCCACGUGUGGGAUUUUGUAUGUACCAUAUGAAUAAGGAUCGGCUAACUCCGUGCCAGCAGCCGCGGUAAUACGGAGGAUCCGAGCGUUAUCCGGAUUUAUUGGGUUUAAAGGGAGCGUAGGUGGAUUGUUAAGUCAGUUGUGAAAGUUUGGGGCUCAACCGUAAAAUUGCAGUUGAAACUGGCAGUCUUGAGUACAGUAGAGGUGGGCGGAAUUCGUGGUGUAGCGGUGAAAUGCUUAGAUAUCACGAAGAACUCCGAUUGCGAAGGCAGUUCACUGGACUGCAACUGACACUGAGGCUCGAAAGUGUGGGUAUCAAACAGGAUUAGAUACCCGAGUAGUC